ACCAACAGGGAUGCCUCAGUAACGGCGAGUGAAGCGGCAACAGCUCAAAUUUGAAAUCUGGCCGCAAGGUCCGAGUUGUAAUUUGUAGAGGAUGCUUUUGGCGAGGUGACUUCCGAGUUCCCUGGAACGGGACGCCAUAGAGGGUGAGAGCCCCGUACGGUCGUGCCACCGAGCCUCUGUAAAGCUCCUUCGACGAGUCGAGUAGUUUGGGAAUGCUGCUCUAAAUGGGAGGUGUACGUCUUCUAAAGCUAAAUACCGGCCAGAGACCGAUAGCGCACAAGUAGAGUGAUCGAAAGAUGAAAAGCACUUUGAAAAGAGGGUUAAAAAGUACGUGAAAUUGUUGAAAGGGAAGCAUUCAUGACCAGACUUGGGCUUGGUUGAACAUCCGGCGUUCUCGCCGGUGCACUCUGCCAGCUCAGGCCAGCAUCAGUUUGCCCCGGGGGAUAAAGGCGGCGGGAAUGUGGCUCCCUACGGGGAGUGUUAUAGCCCGUCGUGUAAUGCCCUGGGGUGGACUGAGGUUCGCGCUUCGGCACGGAUGCUGGCGUAAUGGUCAUCAAUGACCCGUCUUGAAACACGGACCAAGGAGUCGUCUUCGUAUGCGAGUGUUCGGGUGUCAAACCCCUACGCGUAAUGAAAGUGAACGUAGGUGAGAGCUUCGGCGCAUCACCGACCGAUCCUGAUGUUCUCGGAUGGAUUUGAGUAAGAGCAUACGGGGCCGGACCCGAAAGAAGGUGAACUAUGCCUGUAUAGGGUGAAGCCAGAGGAAACUCUGGUGGAGGCUCGCAGCGGUUCUGACGUGCAAAUCGAUCGUCAAAUAUGGGCAUGGGG
rnacentral:rRNA from 1 species